GGGUUGUGAGGUUAAGCGACUAAGCGUACACGGUGGAUGCCCUGGCAGUCAGAGGCGAUGAAGGACGUGCUAAUCUGCGAAAAGCGUCGGUAAGGUGAUAUGAACCGUUACAGCCGGCGAUGUCCGAAUGGGGAAACCCAGUGUGAUUCGUCACACUAUCGUUAACUGAAUACAUAGGUUAACGAGGCGAACCGGGGGAACUGAAACAUCUAAGUACCCCGAGGAAAAGAAAUCAACCGAGAUUCCCCCAGUAGCGGCGAGCGAACGGGGAGCAGCCCAGAGUCUGAAUCAGCUUGUGUGUUAGUGGAACGGUCUGGAAAGUCCGACGGUACAGGGUGAUAGUCCCGUACACCAAAAUGCACAGGCUGUGAACUCGAAGAGUAGGGCGGGACACGUGGUAUCCUGUCUGAAUAUGGGGGGACCAUCCUCCAAGGCUAAAUACUCCUGACUGACCGAUAGUGAACCAGUACCGUGAGGGAAAGGCGAAAAGAACCCCGGCGAGGGGAGUGAAAAAGAACCUGAAACCGUGUACGUACAAGCAGUGGGAGCACCUUCGGGUGUGACUGCGUACCUUUUGUAUAAUGGGUCAGCGACUUAUAUUCUGUAGCAAGGUUAACCGUAUAGGGGAGCCGCAGGGAAACCGAGUCUUAACUGGGCGUUAAGUUGCAGGGUAUAGACCCGAAACCCGGUGAUCUAGCCAUGGGCAGGUUGAAGGUUGGGUAACACUAACUGGAGGACCGAACCGACUAAUGUUGAAAAAUUAGCGGAUGACUUGUGGCUGGGGGUGAAAGGCCAAUCAAACCGGGAGAUAGCUGGUUCUCCCCGAAAGCUAUUUAGGUAGCGCCUCGUGAACUCAUCUUCGGGGGUAGAGCACUGUUUCGGCUAGGGGGUCAUCCCGACUUACCAACCCGAUGCAAACUACGAAUACCGAAGAAUGUUAUCACGGGAGACACACGGCGGGUGCUAACGUCCGUCGUGAAGAGGGAAACAACCCAGACCGCCAGCUAAGGUCCCAAAGUCAUGGUUAAGUGGGAAACGAUGUGGGAAGGCACAGACAGCCAGGAUGUUGGCUUAGAAGCAGCCAUCAUUUAAAGAAAGCGUAAUAGCUCACUGGUCGAGUCGGCCUGCGCGGAAGAUGUAACGGGGCUAAACCAUGCACCGAAGCUGCGGCAGCGACACUAUGUGUUGUUGGGUAGGGGAGCGUUCUGUAAGCCUGCGAAGGUGUGCUGUGAGGCAUGCUGGAGGUAUCAGAAGUGCGAAUGCUGACAUAAGUAACGAUAAAGCGGGUGAAAAGCCCGCUCGCCGGAAGACCAAGGGUUCCUGUCCAACGUUAAUCGGGGCAGGGUGAGUCGACCCCUAAGGCGAGGCCGAAAGGCGUAGUCGAUGGGAAACAGGUUAAUAUUCCUGUACUUGGUGUUACUGCGAAGGGGGGACGGAGAAGGCUAUGUUAGCCGGGCGACGGUUGUCCCGGUUUAAGCAUGUAGGCUGGUUGUCCAGGCAAAUCCGGAUAAUCAAGGCUGAGGUGUGAUGACGAGGCACUACGGUGCUGAAGUAACAAAUGCCCUGCUUCCAGGAAAAGCCUCUAAGCAUCAGGUAACAUUAAAUCGUACCCCAAACCGACACAGGUGGUCAGGUAGAGAAUACCAAGGCGCUUGAGAGAACUCGGGUGAAGGAACUAGGCAAAAUGGUGCCGUAACUUCGGGAGAAGGCACGCUGGUGUGUAGGUGAAGUCCCUGCGGAUGGAGCUGAGACCAGUCGAAGAUACCAGCUGGCUGCAACUGUUUAUUAAAAACACAGCACUGUGCAAACACGAAAGUGGACGUAUACGGUGUGACGCCUGCCCGGUGCCGGAAGGUUAAUUGAUGGGGUUAUCCGUAAGGAGAAGCUCUUGAUCGAAGCCCCGGUAAACGGCGGCCGUAACUAUAACGGUCCUAAGGUAGCGAAAUUCCUUGUCGGGUAAGUUCCGACCUGCACGAAUGGCGUAAUGAUGGCCAGGCUGUCUCCACCCGAGACUCAGUGAAAUUGAACUCGCUGUGAAGAUGCAGUGUACCCGCGGCAAGACGGAAAGACCCCGUGAACCUUUACUAUAGCUUGACACUGAACAUUGAGCCUUGAUGUGUAGGAUAGGUGGGAGGCUUUGAAGCGUGGACGCCAGUCUGCGUGGAGCCAACCUUGAAAUACCACCCUUUAAUGUUUGAUGUUCUAACGUUGGCCCCUUACCGGGGUUGCGGACAGUGUCUGGUGGGUAGUUUGACUGGGGCGGUCUCCUCCCAAAGCGUAACGGAGGAGCACGAAGGUUAGCUAAUCCUGGUCGGACAUCAGGAGGUUAGUGCAAUGGCAUAAGCUAGCUUGACUGCGAGCGUGACGGCGCGAGCAGGUGCGAAAGCAGGUCAUAGUGAUCCGGUGGUUCUGAAUGGAAGGGCCAUCGCUCAACGGAUAAAAGGUACUCCGGGGAUAACAGGCUGAUACCGCCCAAGAGUUCAUAUCGACGGCGGUGUUUGGCACCUCGAUGUCGGCUCAUCACAUCCUGGGGCUGAAGUAGGUCCCAAGGGUAUGGCUGUUCGCCAUUUAAAGUGGUACGCGAGCUGGGUUUAGAACGUCGUGAGACAGUUCGGUCCCUAUCUGCCGUGGGCGCUGGAGAAUUGAGGGGGGCUGCUCCUAGUACGAGAGGACCGGAGUGGACGCAUCACUGGUGUUCGGGUUGUCAUGCCAAUGGCACUGCCCGGUAGCUAAAUGCGGAAGAGAUAAGUGCUGAAAGCAUCUAAGCACGAAACUUGCCCCGAGAUGAGUUCUCCCUGAGACUUUAAGUCUCCUGAAGGAACGUUAAAGACGAUGACGUUGAUAGGCCGGGUGUGUAAGCGCAGCGAUGCGUUGAGCUAACCGGUACUAAUGAACCGUGAGGCUUAACCUUACAACGCCGAAG
rnacentral:rRNA from 1 species